AACGAACGCUGGCGGCAUGCCUAACACAUGCAAGUCGAACGAGACCUUCGGGUCUAGUGGCGCACGGGUGCGUAACGCGUGGGAAUCUGCCCUGGGGUACGGGAAUAAACUCAGAGAAAUUUAGUAGCUAAUACCGUAUGAUGACGUAAGUCCAAAGAAUUUAUUCGCCCCUGGGAGUGAGCCCGCCGUAGGAUUAGCUUGUUGGUGAGGUAAAGGACUCACCAAGGCGACGAUCCUU
rnacentral:rRNA from 1 species